rnacentral:lncRNA from 1 species
CCAGUAUUUAUAAGUUAGUUAAUCAUAUUUUUGAGUUUUUAGUCAUAUUAUCUUUAAAAUGAAUAAGAGGUUCAAAUUAGAUAAUCUCUAAGAUUUCUUCCAGCAAUAAAAUUCUGCAAUUCUGUAAGUUUGUAUAGGGUCUCAGCCCAUCUCUAGCAUUAGCUACAUCCUAUGCAUUUUCAGUUUUUAAAUUGUAUAGACAAAAUACAGACAGAAAAAAUUUCACAUGGUAAGAAGAUCUGAGCAGUGACUGACACCCAUAUGAACCUUGUUUUAUAAGGGUUUACAUACCAUCUUCUUCUAUUCAGUCUACAGCCAGUAGAUCAAAUCUAACCUAAGGUCUAUUUUUUAAUAGCCUAUUAAGAAUGGUUUUUGCAUUUCUAAAGGACUGUGAAAGAAAAAAGAAAGAGAAAUAUGCGAGAGAGAUCAUAUGUGGCCCACAGAGCCUUAAAAUAUUUACUGUCUGACCUUCACAAAAAACGAUUUGAAAAAGUUGGUUUAGUAGGAUGAAAGGAAUUAAAGUUAACUUCAGAUUGUUGCCUAAAGGAGAAGAAAAUAUAGACCACCUACAUUCAUUUGAACAUCAUUAAUCCAGAAUUUUUUGGUAAUUUAAUCGCAUUAAAUUAACAUUUAAAUAUUUGAAAUCAGCUGAAUUAUAGAAAUAAUAUUAUCAAGAAUAUUAAGCUACCAAGAGAAUAGACUAGUAUUAAGGAUUUCAUUUCAGGAAUUGUUAUAUUAAAACAGAUGUUUAAAAUGAUGGUUAAGUGGUAGAGCUAGAAAUGUUUACAGUAAGAAGCAUAUCAGAAAUGCCCCUAACUCUUCACUAAUUACACAGUAACUAUCUCCCCAGCCCUGUUACCAAGAAAGGGAUACCUGCAUAGUAUUUCUGUCUGUUUAGAGACAAGAAGAUACUAUGUUCAAUUGCUAUGAAAGCUUGAUUCUUAUCCUCUGUCCGCAGAGGUGUGUAUGUCAUUAAUCCUUAUUAGUGAUGCUCUUUUGCAGACAGAUUCUUUCAAAUGUGAAAGGCUUAAGGAAAGUGGGUGUAAAGACCCUCAAGUGGAUGCCAAAGUGCUACAGAGGCCAUGAAAGAUUUAUCCUGCAAUAAAAUACGAUAUAUUGAAAGACAUACAUUUGAAUCACUACCAUUUUUGCAGUAUAUGUAAGUUACAAAUAUAACUUUAUUACAUUUGGAAUUUUUAUAAAACUUAAUUAUAAACCUCUUUGCUAUUCAUUUUGAAAUAUGAUUAAAAUUUGACCAGUAGAAAGGUACUAAAAUUAUAUAGCAAGUCCUUCUUGUCUCUAGCAAAGAUUAGUGUGAGAAUUAUUACACAGAUCAUAGUGAAUCAUCAGAGAGCAGUGGUUCUCAACUGGUGUGAUUUUGUACUCAGGUGAUAUUUGGUAAUGUCCAGAGACACUUUUGCUUGACAAAACUGUGGUUGUGCUCCUGGCAUCUGGUGGGCAGAGGCCAGAGAUGCUGCUAAACAUCCUGCAGAGUAUAAGACAAACCCCCACGGCAAAGAGUUAUAUAGUCCAAAAUGUCGAUGGUACUGAAGUUGUGAAAUCCUGUUCUAGAGAAAUGAAGAUCACUUAACACAGAAAUCUGGGCUGCAAUUUAAUUACAGAACUGAGCCUUGGAACAUUUCAGGCCUGGCACGGAAUGCAGUUUUUACACAACUUGUAAGUGAAAUAGAAGAUGAAUACGUGUAAACAACUAUUUUGUAUAAAAACUCAUACAAUUAUUGGUUAGCUGGGUAUAAGCCCAUUAUGAACUCUGAAAAGUGUGUCUUAAGAUCCAUUCGUUUUUCUCAAAUGGGGAAACUAAGGUACAAAGCGGCCAAGAGACUUACACAGCUUAUAUAUGACCUGCUCUGCUUAUCCUAGUUCUGACCUAUGGCAUGGGCAAGAAAAGCCAUCAAACAAGUGACCCUCAAAUUAGCCUUGUUGCUGGGCGGGUGGCUCAGGCCUGUAAUCCCAGAACUUUAGGAGCUGAGGGGGGCGGAUCACCUGAGGUCAGGAGUUCAACACCAGCUUGGCCAACAUAGUGAAUCCCCAUCCCUACUGAAAAUACAAAAAAAUUUGCUGGGCGUAGUGAUGCAGUUUUUUGCUCCCUGGAGGACUUUGUGUUAAGCUUUCUUCCUUGCAGCUAAAUGUUGCAGACAUUUAAGCAGUUUGAAACUCUGCAUAUGAGCAGGAAUCAAAGUUAAAUCCAAAGUGUAGGGCUGGGCGUAGUGGCUCAUGCCUAUAAUCCCAGCACCUUGGGAGGAUCACUUGAGGUCAGGAGUUUGAG